AUCCAGACUCCUACGGGAGGCAGCAGUGGGGAAUAUUGGGCAAUGGGCGCAAGCCUGACCCAGCAACGCCGCGUGAAGGAAGAAGGCUUUCGGGUUGUAAACUUCUUUUAUUCGGGACGAAGAAAGUGACGGUACCGAAUGAAUAAGCCACGGCUAACUACGUGCCAGCAGCCGCGGUAAUACGUAGGGGGCAAGCGUUAUCCGGAUUUACUGGGUGUAAAGGGAGCGUAGACGGCAGCGCAAGUCUGAAGUGAAAUGCCGGGGCUUAACCCCGGAACUGCUUUGGAAACUGAGCAGCUAGAGUGCAGGAGAGGCAGGCGGAAUUCCUAGUGUAGCGGUGAAAUGCGUAGAUAUUAGGAGGAACACCGGUGGCGAAGGCGGCCUGCUGGACUGUAACUGACGUUGAGGCUCGAAAGCGUGGGGAGCAAACAGGAUUAGAUACCCUGGUAC
rnacentral:rRNA from 1 species